UACGUAGGGGGCAAGCGUUGUCCGGAUUUAUUGGGCGUAAAGAGCGUGUAGGCGGCUAGAUAGGUCCGUUGUGAAAACUCGAGCUCAACCUCGAGACGCCGGUGGAAACCAUCUAGCUAGAGUCCGGAAGAGGAGAGUGGAAUUCCUGGUGUAGCGGUGAAAUGCGCAGAUAUCAGGAAGAACACCCGUGGCGAAGGCGGUCUGCUGGGGUGAGGCUGACACUGAGGCGCGACAGCGUGGGGAGCAAACAGG
rnacentral:rRNA from 1 species